AGAUUUGAGGUCAGCCUGUCCAGCUCCAGAGUACAGCUCAUAACCCCCACACUUGAAGCCAUCUUUGUAAGAUUAAGGAAAGCUACAAGAACAAUGGGCUGUGGGUCAUGCUGACCACCUUGAUGGUAUCCAGAAGUUUAAUCAGCCGAAGUAUGGCUCUGCAUCCUGGUAGACCAUCUGACGCCAAUCAGAUCAGUGACCUGACCCCCACCCUGAAACUGACUACCCCACCCCCCCACCAGAAGACAAUUUCAGCACCGCUAUGAUUUCAUUCCCAACCAAUCUGCAGUCCCAAUUCCCUUGCUCCCUGC